rnacentral:rRNA from 1 species
GACGUAGGGCGCGAGCGUAGUCCGGAUUUAUUGGGCGUAAAGAGCUCGUAGGCGGCUUGUCGCGUCGAAUGUGAAAUCUCAGGGCUCAACUCUGACAUUGCAUUCGAUACGGGCAGGCUAGAGUUCGGUAGGGGAGACUGGAAUUCCUGGUGUAGCGGUGAAAUGCGCAGAUAUCAGGAGGAACACCGGUGGCGAAGGCGGGUCUCUGGGCCGAUACUGACGCUGAGGAGCGAAAGCGUGGGGAGCGAACAGG